rnacentral:rRNA from 1 species
UACGUAGGUGGCAAGCGUUGUCCGGAUUUACUGGGCGUAAAGAGCGCGCAGGCGGUCAGAUAAGUCGAAUGUGAAAGCCCCCGGCUCAACUGGGGAGGGUCAUUCGAUACUGUUCGACUCGAAGGCAGGAGAGGGAAGUGGAAUUCCCGGUGUAGUGGUGAAAUGCGUAGAUAUCGGGAGGAACACCAGUGGCGAAGGCGACUUCCUGGCCUGUUCUUGACGCUGAGGCGCGAAAGCCAGGGGAGCGAACGGG